rnacentral:rRNA from 1 species
ACUACGGGAGGCAGCAGUAGGGAAUCUUCCACAAUGGACGAAAGUCUGAUGGAGCAACGCCGCGUGAGUGAAGAAGGGUUUCGGCUCGUAAAGCUCUGUUGGUAGUGAAGAAAGAUAGAGGUAGUAACUGGCCUUUAUUUGACGGUAAUUACUUAGAAAGUCACGGCUAACUACGUGCCAGCAGCCGCGGUAAUACGUAGGUGGCAACCGUUGUCCGGAUUUAUUUGUCGGAAAGCGAGUGCAGGCGGUUCAAUAAGUCUGAUGCGAAAGCCUGCGGCUCAACCGGGGAAUUGCAUCAGAAACUGUUGAAGUUGAGUGCAGAAGAGGAGAGUGGAACUCCAUGUGUAGCGGUGGAAUGCGUAGAUAUGUGGAAGAACACCAGUGGCGAAGGCGGCUCUCUGGUCUGCAACUGACGCUGAGGCUCGAAAGCAUGGGUAGCGAACAGGAUUAGAUACCCGAGUAGUC